rnacentral:ncRNA from 1 species
UAAAUUGAGAGUUUGAUCCUGGCUCAGGACGAACGCUGGCGGCGUGCCUAACACAUGCAAGUCGAGCGAUGAAGCCCUUCGGGGUGGAUUAGCGGCGGACGGGUGAGUAACACGUGGGUAACCUGCCUUAUAGAGGGGGAUAGCCUUCCGAAAGGAAGAUUAAUACCGCAUGAAAUGUUUUUAUCGCAUGGUAGAAACAUCAAAGGAGUAAUCCGCUAUAAGAUG